GUAGGUGGCAAGCGUUGUCCGGAAUUAUUGGGCGUAAAGCGCGCGCAGGCGGUUCUUUAAGUCUGAUGUGAAAGCCCACGGCUCAACCGUGUAGGGUCAUUGGAAACUGGAGAACUUGAGUACAGAAGAGGAAAGCGGAAUUCCACGUGUAGCGGUGAAAUGCGUAGAGAUGUGGAGGAACACCAGUGGCGAAGGCGGCUUUCUGGUCUGUAACUGACGCUGAGGCGCGAAAGCGUGGGGAGCAAACAGGGGUUAGAUACCCUGGUAGUCCACGCCGUAAACGAUGAGUGCUAAGUGUUAGGGGGUUUCCCGCCCCUUAGUGCUGCAGCUAACGCAUUAAGCACUCCGCCUGGGGAGUACGGCCGCAAGGCUG
rnacentral:rRNA from 1 species